rnacentral:rRNA from 1 species
UACGGAGGGUGCAAGCGUUGUUCGGAAUUACUGGGCGUAAAGAGCGUGUAGGCGGCCAUUUAUGUCAGGUGUGAAAGCCCUCGGCCCAACCGAGGAAGUGCGCCUGAAACUGAGUGGCUUGAGUACGAGAGAGGAGGACGGAAUUCCUAGUGUAGAGGUGAAAUUCGUAGAUAUUAGGAAGAACACCGGUGGCGAAAGCGGUUCUCUGGAUCGAUACUGACGCUGAGACGCGAAAGCGUGGGGAGCAAAC